UUGACUGGGGCGGUCGCCUCCCAAAAGGUAACGGAGGCGCUCAAAGGUUCUCUCAGUACGGUCGGAAAUCGUACGUAGAGUGUAAAGGCAAAAGAGAGCUUGAUUGCAAGACAUACAGGUCGAGCAAGGAUGAAAAUCGGACUUAGUGAUCCGGUGGUUCUGCGUGGAAGGGCCAUCGCUCAACGGAUAAAAGCUACCCUGGGGAUAACAGGCUUAUCUCCCCCAAGAGUCCACAUCGACGGGGAGGUUUGGCACCUCGAUGUCGGCUCAUCACAUCCUGGGGCUGUAGUAGGUCCCAAGGGUUGGGCUGUUCG
rnacentral:rRNA from 1 species